GGCCUGGUGGCCUAAUGGUAAGGCGUUGCUUUCCGGUAGAUUUCACAACUGUGGAUUUUUCUGAGUUUGGCAAAGAUUGCGGGUUCGAGUCCCGUCUGGGUCG
rnacentral:tRNA from 1 species